rnacentral:sRNA from 1 species
AAUGCAUGUUCUCCUGGCUUUGUUUUCUAACCCACACGCCUCCUGUCUGCUGAGCCUUGCUGCCUGUUUGGUGAGGAGUGUGUGUGUCUGGUGUGCUUUUGUGCUAUUAACUCUUACACGGGUUUGCUCUCCGGACCUAUUCCCUGGUUACCCUAAAAUCCAUAAAGGACACACCAGGAGCUGGUAACCAGUGCAGAGGGACAGUCCUAUUCAUUUUUAUAGCCCUUUGGAGGGGAACACUCUGCCUGCUUCUGCAUGCUGUGUUCAUGAGCAGUUUUGUAACUAGACCCUCCUAGGGAUCUGGAGUCAAAUGUGAAAUUCCCAAGGAUACCGGCACAGUGCAGGUUUAUGAAGAUGGCAAGAAAGAGGUCUGGGGACAGGGAGUUUUGUUCCUCCCCAUUGUGAGGGGAAGGAAAGGGUCAGAGAGACCAGCCUCCCUCCGGAGGGUGUCAGGGUUUAUAGUCACUGGGCUCAGCCAGCGGCUCACCGUGCACCCUCAAACAAGCAGGCUCCUCUCCUGGGUCUGAGUUGCCUGUCUAGGUCCCAUGAUCUAAAUCUUUGACCUCACUACUUGCCCUUAUAAAGAACAAAGUUACAAGCAUUCUCUCCUGCAGACAGAGCAGGUGGCCUCGUAGGAAGUUCAGAGCCAGUGCCUGCUGCUCUGCAACAUUUUCCACCCCGGGGACCCUUGUCAAUUUGCAAAAUUUCAUCUGAGCCUCUGUACAUGGGGGAAAGAAAGGUUCCCUCAUAGUCAUGGGUGAAAAGUGGUAGGCCCCCGUCUGUAUUGUAGGUUGGCUGCCCUGGUAAGGCUUAGAUAACGAACUGAAAGACCCUUGUAAUUAGCCAAGACUGGGCCCCAGAAGAGAGGGGAAAAGAGCAUCAAUUGCCCAUGAGUGGUCCUGGAGCAAGGGGACCCACUGGGCUUCACACGCUAGGUCAGCAGGUGUUUCAAAGCUAGUGACCCACUUUGCCUGACAUGAGGAGUUGAAGCCAGGCAUCCAGACUUCCCAGUGGCUGCCAGUUGCCAGGACCACAGCCUAGGGCAGCUCACAAGGUGAGGGGAAGUCAGUGGCCCCAGCACUUGGGUGUUGUCCUCAGAGAGAUCAGCACUAAUCACGGUGUUGCGCUCAACAGUGAAGGAGAAGCCACAGUAUGGCAAGAACCCCGUGGUGAUGGUGGACGAGAUCAUGAGCUCCAGCCCUCCAAAGUUCACCUUCCCUGAAGCAGGCUUACGAAUCAUGAUCACCAAUAAGUUUGGACCCAGGACCCGACUACGGAUGGCCAGCAGGAUCAUCAUUAAUGAGCGGCAGAGACUGAUCAACUCGGCCAAUGGUGUGAGCAGCAAGCCGCUUCAAAACGGGAGGCACGAGAACAUUGAGAACGGGAAUGUUCCUGUGGAAAACCCCGAAGACCCUCAGCAGAAUCAGGAGCAGCAGCCGCCGCCACAGCCACCACCGCCAGAGCCAGAGCCGGCGGAGGCUGACUUCCUGUCCCCCUUCUCCAUGCCGGAGGCCAGAGGGGACAAGGUCAAGUGGGUGUUCACCUGGCCCCUCAUCUUCCUCCUGUGCGUCACCAUUCCCAACUGCAGCAAGCCCCGCUGGGAGAAGUUCUUCAUGGUCACCUUCAUCACCGCCACGCUGUGGAUCGCUGUGUUCUCCUACAUCAUGGUGUGGCUGGUGACUAUUAUCGGAUACACACUUGGGAUCCCGGAUGUCAUCAUGGGCAUUACUUUCCUGGCAGCAGGGACAAGUGUUCCAGACUGCAUGGCCAGCUUAAUUGUGGCGAGACAAGGCCUUGGGGACAUGGCAGUCUCCAACACCAUAGGAAGCAACGUGUUUGACAUCCUGGUAGGACUCGGUGUACCGUGGGGCCUGCAGACCAUGGUUGUUAAUUACGGAUCAACAGUGAAGAUCAACAGCCGGGGGCUGGUCUAUUCCGUGGUCCUGUUGCUGGGCUCUGUCGCUCUCACCGUCCUCGGCAUCCACCUAAACAAGUGGCGACUGGACCGGAAGCUGGGUGUCUACGUGCUGGUUCUCUACGCCAUCUUCUUGUGCUUCUCCAUAAUGAUAGAGUUUAACGUCUUUACCUUCGUCAACUUGCCGAUGUGCCGGGAAGACGAUUAGCACUGAGUCGCGGCCCCUGGGAGCUGAUCUGGACACCCUGUGACACUGGCGUCCUCCUCUCCCCUCCUUCCCCCACCACAGGUCUCUCCUGCAUAGGCAGCCACUGUCCGUUCUUUCACACACUGGAAGGAAGAGCCAUCGUGGUCUUUGUCUGGCCACAGGCCAGGCUGCUGGGCAUCCUCCUCCUCCUUGGAGUUCCGCCCCUGCAAGGCUGGAUUUGGGGGCCAUUAUCUGAGCAGCUUCAAAGACCCCUGAGCUGCCAACCACGGAGAUGUGCCAAGCAUCUCAUCUCUCCUGCACACUUUAGUCAGAAGGACUUCUGCAUGCAGUUUGUCUUUCUGUUCUGCAGGCAGCCUCAGAAUUGAGGUCAUUUGUGAGCACGAGAUCUCAUAGGGCAGGUGCAAAAUAGGAAUGUUGUUCUCAAGUGUCACCUCCAGCCCAGAGGUGGUUCCUUAGGCAGCAUGUGCUCCUGGGAGCCUCUGACUUUUGCUGGAAGCACCCACAGUUUGGAAGGGGCAAGACCUCAACCUGUUGGGGUUUAGGGCCCAUGAUGGCAGACAUUCUACCCCUUUUCCUGGAAAAACUGGAAGAAUGAAAAUAAUUUUUUUCUGUGGAAGAGAGAAAAUGAGUGAAUAUUCUUCUCACUUUUAUUGAUGCAUUCAGAGAAUAAGCAAUGAAAUAUUAAAAAAUGAAACAUCAUAUAGGUCAUCAUACUUGAAAAUUAUCAUUCCAUAUGAAAGGAUCAUGAUACACACCAAAAAAGUAAUGAUCGUAAAGACACAAAUCCUCUGUACGCCAUCUUGCAUUGGCACUGAGGUGUUUGGUUUGGAAUAGGGAAAAAGGUAAGAGACUAACGUGGAAAGGUGCUAACUCAGAGACUGGAGAUUAUAGUUUACAGCUGUACUUUCCAGAUCUUCUAUGUGACACAAUGCACUGUCCUUGUGGGUUUGUCAUUUAUUGGUUAAUGCUCUAGUUUCAAAACCACCCUGUUGAAAGUUCCAGUUAUUUAUAUGCCCAACAAAUUUCAUAGCCUGCUGAACUGAACUGAGUGUGUCAGAAGUGCUGGUUAAUGACGAGAAGAGAUUGCCUGAAAAACAACAAACUGCUUUCUGGUUAGCUGAAGGCAAGUGUGAAAAUCAGAAUUUAGAAUAUUUAGAGCUAAGCUUCUGGAACCACGUAGUUUCUACACAUGGCAGGCCAAGAAUGGGAGGCUGCCUCAAAACUAGAUAGAAAAAUAUAAAAUAAUCUUCGACCACUUGAUAGCUCUCAAAUAUAUAUUUAAAAGAUUUAUGAAUACAAACCAUUUAUGGUUUAUGAUUUCUAAAAAGAAAGCACAAUUAAUUUUAUAGAGAGGUUUUUUAUUUUUUUAAUAUUUCUAUUGCAAAAGUCUAUCCGAUUUGAUGCACUUUGAAUAUUGAGAUAUUUUGCACGGAUGAAUGUAUGGGAACUACCCAUGAUGAUGUAAGAGGAAAGAACAUUUUUUUGUGAUUCACCAGACAUCACUUUAAACUUGGUGAUGAGUUUAAAUCCAGUAGCUAAUCCCUUCCUGAGACUCAAAGAUCGUGACCCUGGUUGGAAUUUCUGACUGUGCUCUUUAGGGCCUCCUGAGUUUCAAAAGGAGGAAGUGUUCGUGCUUGUGUCCCUGAAGUUCCCUGUUGCAUGAGCCUGCGACAGGACCUCACCCCCCACCACCAGGCUUCUAUUUGGGAUUCACAUCAGUAUUAGUAUCGUAGCUACACCAAGUUCAGGCUUCUCUUUUUGUUUUUUUACCUAGAAAUUGGGCUCAGUGGUCUUCAACUUGAGGACGAGGGUGAUUUUCCUAAGAAAUCAGCAAAGAGGGAAGGCAGGGACCCUGUAGAUUCACCAGUAUAAACUUUAGCUGCAGGGAUUCCAGAACCCUCGGGACCACUCUGUCACCUUAAUAGCCAAGUUCUCCUGGUUCCUCCGAUCUUACAGGCUCAUCCAGGUUCCAAAGUGCUUCUGUCUCUGUUUUGAUUCUCCAAACUGCUCUGUGAUGUAUGCAGGGAUUAUUCUCCCCACUUAACAGAAAGUAGUGUCUUGGAGAGGUCAAGGGUCUCUAGUUCAAUGGCCAGUCAUAGCAGAAGGGAGGCCAAGCACCAGUCCAUCACCCCUCCCAGGCCAGCCUCUGUAAGUUGGCCACACUUGGGGAGUGAGUGUGGGUAUGACUUUACCCUCCUGGUUGGUUCUUACUGUUUGAGUCAAAACCUCAUCAAUAUAUCAUUGACUCCUGGGUUCCUCAGGUCAUUUCCUAAUAUCUGUCCCUAUCCAAUGCAUCUAUUUUAUCUUGAAAAAAGGACCAAAAAUUAUUUUUAGCUAUGACAAGGCACAGGCCACGUGGCCCCUGAUGGCGUCCCUGCUGGUUUUCAAUUCUCUGAAGCCUUGUGUAGCUUUCAGAGCACACGUAUCCUAAUUACCCUCCUCUUCCUCAGCAGAACCCAUUUGAGAUUCUAAAUGAAUACUCUUAGUCUCUAAAGUUGCAGUUAGAAACUAAAAUAAUGUUUUUUAAUAUGUAAUAUGCUCCUCUUGGCUAAUUUUCUUUUGACUUUAAUGUGCCAAUGUAACUUCCUUUAAAGGAUCUAUGCAUUUAUUAAAUCUAGAAAACGA